GAGUAAUAGCAUAGGAAUCUACCUAGUAGUAUGGGAUAGCCACUAGAAAUGGUGGGUAAUACUGUAUAAUCCCUGCGGGGGAAAGAUUUAUCGCUAUUAGAUGAGCCUAUGUUAGAUUAGCUAGUUGGUAGGGUAAAGGCCUACCAAGGCGAUGAUCUAUAGCUGGUCUGAGAGGAUGAUCAGCCACACUGGAACUGAGAUACGGUCCAGACUCCUACGGGAGGCAGCAGUGGGGAAUAUUGGACAAUGGGCGCAAGCCUGAUCCAGCUAUGCCGCGUGAGUGAGGAAGGCCUUAGGGUUGUAAAACUCUUUCAGUAGGGAAGAUAAUGACGGUACCUACAGAAGAAGUCCCGGCAAACUCCGUGCCAGCAGCCGCGGUAAUACGGAGGGGGCAAGCGUUGUUCGGAAUUAUUGGGCGUAAAGGGCAUGUAGGCGGUUCGGUAAGUUAAAGGUGAAAUGCCAGGGCUUAACCCUGGAGCUGCUUUUAAUACUGCCAGACUAGAGUCCGGGAGAGGAUAGCGGAAUUCCUAGUGUAGAGGUGAAAUUCGUAGAUAUUAGGAGGAACACCAGUGGCGAAGGCGGCUAUCUGGUCCGGUACUGACGCUGAGGUGCGAAAGCGUGGGGGAGCAAACAGGAUUAGAUACCCUGGUAGUCCACGCUGUAAACGAUGAGUGCUGAUGGGUGGGGGAUUUUUUUAUCUCUUGUGUUGUAGCUAACGCGUUAAGCACUCCGCCUGGGGGACUACGGUCGCAAGACUAAAACUCAAGGAAUUGACGGGGACCCGCACAAGCGGUGGAGCAUGUGGUUUAAUUCGAUGCAACGCGAAAACCUUACCACUCCGUGACAUGGGAGAUUAGUCGUAAA
rnacentral:rRNA from 1 species